AGAAAAAGCAUUACUCACCCAAUGAGAAAAUCAACGAAAAUACAAGCAAAGUUCCAAUCUUCAAAUAUGUCUCUUUAAAACAGGACUGUUCCAUUUCACUCAGACAGCAGUUUGACUAAAAGACAGCUGUAGACGAGGUUUAUCUGCGUAGAGGUAGCUAGGGGAAAGACAAACCGCAGUGUUCAGCAAAUUUACGACUAGAAUGGUUAAAACCACUAGCAGCAGCAACGACAGAAGUGGUGAUUGAAAAUGUGCCACAUUGCUAGGAGCCUGGAGGCGCACAUACGCCAGACCAGAUGAGGAAGGACACUACUUUGGGACAACACAUCCAUCCUAGGACAAGCCAAGCAGAGACAUGCACGAGAAUUCCUAGAAGCAUGGCAUUCCAACCGGAACUCCAUCAACAAACACAUUGAUUUGGAGCCAAUCUACCAUCCUCUGAGAAAAAGAACAGGAAAUGACAUCACCAGUGCAAGAAAUGACAUCACCAACCCAAGGAAACCUAAACAGAUAAUAGAAAGCGGGACAGAACACCAGCAGGACAUAACACCAGUGCUUCAUCAGAGGCUUACUGAUGUUACCUAGAAUGGUGACAAUGUCGGAAAACUAACCUUCCAGCUCAGCGAGCAAACU